GAAUAAAAUUGUCUUUCUCAGCUUCCCGGGAAGGAUCUGGUCACAGGUAGAGUGAAGCUGGGCCGCUGGGAGGUUAAGUUUGCUCAACUCUUUGGUUUGGAAGAAUAUUCCUGUUUCCUUCUACAAAGCAGGCUGUUGCCUGAAGUAAGAGGCCUGGUGUGGGGAACAAAAAUAUUGGAUAAGCUAAGACUCCUGCGUACCACUGGGCAUUCCAACUGAUUUCCAGAUUAAACUACCUGGUACAAUUCUAGAAGAGAACUUUAACAUCACCACACACUGGGAAUCUCAGUGGGGAAUUCUCAUUUAGCAUUGCCUGUGUGUACAUGGGUGUGGAGCUAUCUACUACAGAUGAGGAAGUUUCCAGUAAACAUAUCUUAAAUGAAAAGUGAUAUUUCCGUCCAGAGCAGCUAUCAACUGCUACUAACUCCUUUUUAAGUCAUGGAUCCUGAAGAUCAUCUACCCCAUCUCUAUACCAGGAUUUUAGUCAGCUUGAUAUUGUAUAAAUCUUACCAAAAUAACUGUACCUCAAAUAGGUCAUGUAUGUGGGUUAAAAUGGUGCCUGGCGUCUGCUCUGUCACAGGGCUAGGACUGCUAAUGGAGGUGGACACUGCAAGUUUGACUGGUGUCGGGCUGUGAAAAGUCUCCGAACCCCACUCCAGAGGGAGGGGAGGCACAGUUUGAGGUCCCUGAGGCCUCAGACUGUGUCUCCCUACUACCAGAUUCUGCUCAGGUGUCCUGGACCUGCACAGAGUAUGACAGGUUCUCAGGCUCUUGGAUACUGCAAACGUCUCUGGAUGUUGCAGAAGAGCUGAGAAUGAAUUCUCUCCCUCCCUACCCCUCCCUACCCCCACUUCCACCCCUCUACACACCCCCUGCAUCUAGCCCAGGGCCAAAAGGAAAAGGGCAGGAGGAGAGGGCUCUGGCUGGGUCCCACAAGGGUGAGAGUCUUGCUCUGGAGGCAGGUUGCCUUGGUGGGAAUCAUGUCUGAGAGCACAGAGAGGCCUCCCAUGGGAGCAUUUCAGAGGAAGACCUGCUCCAUCUCUCCAGCACAGUGGGUCCCAAUGAGAAGAGGCAAUCUAUAGUUUUAAGGCACCCUGUUGUGUAUUCCUGUAGGUCAGAAGUCACUCUUUAAGCUAAAUGACCCCUGCUCACAAUUUCAUCCCCCAUCAGCCAAUGUACUGAUCGAAGUUGAAUUUUCAUCUGGGACUCAGAACUCCUUUGCAGUCUCAUUGGUUGUUGGCAGAAUUAAUUUCCUUUCAGCUGCAUCAGUGGCAACCCUGCUUGUUCACUAGCUUUUCUCAGCUGCUGAGGACAGCCCAGCAUUCCAUACCUUGUGUGGUUUUCCAGAGUACAGUGCCUUCGAAGCCUGCAUGAUAUCCUCCAUUCUACUCUGUGUACCUUGAGACCUCGCUGAUAAGUAACUUCCAUUUUUCUGAUUUCAAUAGUUCAUCUUCAGAAGUGAAGCCACCCAUAUUUAUAAGAAUUGAAUUCCACUAUGCAUUGACACUAAGAGGCAUAGAUUUUGUAAGGCAUGCACACAGAGUGAGAGGGUGAAAUGGAAUGGUGUCAAAUACACCCUUAACAAUUGUGAAUGGUUUCUUUCUAGUAGGCAUAAAUUGGGAGAGUGGGUGUUUUACCCUGGAAAUCAUCUCACUGAUUUGAGAAUCGAGAGCAAUCAAUUUUAUAAAUUAAUUUAUAGAACUAUUUGUAAAAGUCAGAGUGCCAAAAAUUUAAGAAUAUUUUUUGUUUUAUAAUAAAUAUUUCCAUAUCCAGAUGGCCACAAAAUCCAGCUCUUUAUUCCUCUUAUCUGUAAAUUUUACUAGACUGGGCACACACAUUCCUGUGUAGCAAUAUUCAUCACAAAUUAGUUUAAAAUAAAUAUGUUCCUAAUAAUUUAAUCAUAUGUUAAGACACUUAGAAUAAUGACUAUUGAUUUUUAUUAUAUCAACAGCUAUAUUUACCCUGCCACAAAAAUAUUUAUAAUGUUGUAAUUGAUAUGACUUUGAGUGUGGCUAUUACAUAUGUCCUACAAUUAUAUUGCUGUAAACAUAAUUUAUCAAUAAGAGUAACACUGUCUAAGAACAUCUUAAAUCUUAACUCCAUAAAACAAUCCUGAUUUCUAAACACAAAUUGGCAACUAAUACUAUUUUCAAAGGGCUUUGGACAAAUAAGAUAUCUAUAGUUUUUCUACAAACACACUUAAAAAUCAAGCUUAAUAAUAUUUUGUUAUUAUUCAUCUCUGCUGUUGUCUUCAGGAUCGUCCUAGAUGAGUUUGUAAAUCACGGGAACUGCACCUAGGAAAGUCGUGAUUUGUACUGCUUCUAGCUUUUUGCCUACUCAGUAUUUUAGGGCCUUUCACGUGAUCAUCUAUAAUGUAAGUGCAUAGAAUGGCAAUUUCU